UCUUCCGAUCUCAUCUGAAUGGUGCAUGGAGUAAAGUGCGUACUUCCAACUCAAUGGUAAUAAGAGUAAAUAAUAACUGAAGGCAAGAAAUCACAUAAGAGCACUCCACCAUGCAAUAUGGGACAACAUAACCCUUUGAGAAACGGGAAAAAAAUCCUUUAGAAAAUAUCUGACUCAGUUUAAAAUCACUUUUGAAAAUAUCAUUUUCCAACAAUAUAAGCAAGUAAAUGCAGGGCAUGUAGUGCAAGUCAGCACAAAAGUCAGCCUCUCGGGCACAAGCAAGUAUGCAUAAUUGAGCUCACAACUCGCCCUUCAGGAAAUAUUCUUGUCUUCGGUCAGCCACUGUUACCUGACCCGUUUACAUCAUGCAGUGUCAUUGUUAUCACUGUCUCAAACUUUUCCACUUUGAAAGUGAUAAGAAAAUAUCAGAACAACAAAAUAAAUAUAUCAAGCAAAUGACACAAACAACAAAUAGUGCACAAAUGUAUGAAUGUAAUGCAAUGCAUAUGACGGUACACUCUAGUAUCCGCUGCGGCGUGCAGCCCGCUCCACUUACUUAAUGUCGACGGCGCUCACUAGGGGUGUAUACACACUCUGGGAGGACUGUAGCGUGCAGCCCGCUCUACUUAUUUAACGUCGACGGCGCUCACUGGGGGUUUGUACAGACUUCAGAGGGGCUCCUACAGCCCAAGCGCAAUAUCAGCUAAGUUUUGGCAUAAAACAAGUUGUCGGCCUCAAUAUCAAUAUAUAUAUAUAUAUCAUUACUCCGGUGUGCAGCCCGAGCCACCCAUAUAUUCAAAAAUCACAAUGACACUGCUGCGGUGCACAGACCAGUCCAUGCUCAGUUCAGAAAUGCAUGUAAGCCACUUGGGCAAUAUUAACAUGAUAAUCCUCAGCUCAAAACGUCAUUUAAAAUAUUGUUUAAGUUUUCAAAUCUUAGAAAGAAUGGCUGAGUUUACAAAACAACAUUAAAAUCUUGGACCGAGACCAAAUAAUAUGCAAGUAAUGCAAAAACAGUAAUAUCAAUCCCCGAAGGAUUCAAAUAGUUGGCACGGAGCCCAAACAUGGCCAUCAACCCAAACAAUGAUGGUAACAAAUAAUUUCAGUCAAAUACGCAGUAAAAUCAACAACCGAGACGGAUCAAGUUACAGUCCCCAAUGGUGCUCUACCCCACGCUCAUAUCCGGCAUUCAAGUCACCUCAAUACAAUACUAUGAUGUGCAAAUUCGGAGUUUCAAACCCUCAGGAUAUCAUUUACGAGUAUUACCCACCUCGAACCGGCAAAAUCUCUAGCCCGCGAUGCCUAUGCACCUCAGCUUGGCAUCCACGCCCGUCGAAUCUAUCCAAAUUCAGAGCAAAUAUAUCAAAAUAUGCUAAGGGCACAAUACCCAAUCGGAAACAAUCGAGAAAUAGCACAAAUCUCGAAACUAGCAAAACCGAGCCCCGGAUCCGCUUCUCGAAAAUUACAAAAAUUACAUUACCGGGUUUUUCGUCUCGCCAUGAGCCCAUACAUACCAAGAACUCCCAAAUCCUAGCUCAAAUGACCUAUCAAAUCCCAAUUUAAAAUAUAAAAAAUUCAAGCCCUCGUUUAUCAAUUUUAGGCGUAAUUUCGUUGAAUUUCUAGACCAAAUUGACAAUAUAAUCAUGUUUUUAGUUCAUAGGAUUUACCUCCAGUCAAUCCUCUUCGAAACCAUCUUCAAUUGUUCCCAAAAAGCUCUCAAGGUGCUCAACAAGGGAUGAAAAUAACCCUUAAGUCGUGGAUGAAAUGUUUUAAAAACCCACUCUGCAUGCCCAGAUUUCCUCUGUGCGAUCGCAUACAAGACAUUGCGAUCGCAUAAAACAAAAAUAUUUACCUCUGAUUUAACCCUAUGCGAUCCAAUAAGGGACCACGCGAUUGCAUUGACCAGACAACUCACACUGCGCGAUCGCAUACACAGCACCGCGAUCGCAUUGAACAAAAUCCAAACUCCAAAAUUUUCCUCUGUCCGAUCGCACCAAGGACACGCGAUCGCAUAGAAUAAAUGAUCAUUCCCCCAAAAUACCUCUAUGUGAUCGCAUAGAACAAAUGUCUGCAACACUGAUCUGCAAUUUUCUACAACAUCCCAAGUAGAAAAAUCUUCCUUUUAGCCAUCCGAUAUCACCCCGAGGCCCCCGAGACCUCAACCCAAAGCACAAACAUAAUCUACUACCUUAUUCAAACUUGCUUGAAUCAUCAAAAUUCUAACGUUUGUGAGCACAUAAUUUUUGCUCUCACGACAAUUACUCUCAAAAAUUCAAAAUAAAAUAGUUUUGUGUUGUGUGUGAUCUUUGUGGAUUUUUUGUGUUAUCUUCUCUUUAGCAUUUGCACUUGUCUGUGCGUGUUUAUUUGUUGAAUUAACGAAAAAAUAAAAAAAUAUAUGUUGCAUGCCUAUUUAGUUUUUAAGUGUGUGUUUAGGAGUUAAUUAAACCAUAAUUUUAUUUUUAAAAGGAAAAUCACAAAAAUAUGCAUUUUUAUUCUACUAUUUUAUCGUCAUUGUGUGAUUUUAUUUUUAUUAAAAUGUUUAAUUUGUGUGUUAAUUGCGUAAGUGGUAGUUGAUACUUGUGUAGUUUUAUUUUAGAUUUUACAAAUUAUUUAGGAAGUUUGUUUAAUUUUUGUUAACUAAGAAAGGAAAAGAAAAUGGUGCAAAUUGAAGAAAAUUCGGAUUGGGCUACAAAUUCAAAACCAAAAAUCAGGCCCAAUCCAUUUGUAUUUAACCCAGUCCACGACCGGCCUCUCAGAACCCUCCCAAACAACGUCGUUUUAAUGCCUCCCAUCUAGACCGUUGAUCAAUCAGAUCUAACGGUCCAAUUGAGUUCGUUCAUUAAACCAAACGACGCCAUUAAUGUGCGUUUAAUCUGAGCCGUUUAUAGCAUUGUGAUCCAACAAUCCCAGGCUUCCCAUCUCACUCGACCCAUUUAGCCCCGAACCAACCCAGCUCCACUUAAAUGGAGCGACGGCGUUUUAUCUUAGCCAAAUGAUCCUGUCCCUUCAUCUAGUCUGAUCCUACGGCCAGGAUCCAUCCGUCCAAUCCAUAUAUAUACCAUCUCCUACACCCCUUACCCCCCAAAGGAACCCUACCCUCUUCAUUCUUUUUCUCUGUCUCAAACCCUUAGAGACCAGAACCUCGAAACCUUAGCCGCCUCUAGGCGAUUUGCACCAGAAACCGGGCGGCAACAACGCCGCCGGUCACCAUAUUAACACCGUAGAACCCCCAACACACCCUGAAUCCAAAUAUACAAGCACCGGCCCUCGAAUCUUCCCACAGCUACUCGAAUCUUCAUUUGAAAAUUCGAGCCAAAACUCGAUGUAAACCAAAUCACCCCAAACUCCUACCUAGCAGUCCCCUGACCUCCCUUAGGCUUAACAUAACCUUGGUUCGAUUCAAAUCUGCCCAGAAAACCCUAAAUCCCAAAUAACCUCUAUGAACCCUAGAAAUCCGAAAACCUUGGGAUCUUCAAAUAGACCUUAAUCUGGGUGUUCUCUGAGAACACCCUGAUUGAGGUCCAUUCGACUUAAAAUGAUCGAACCCGGUUCAAUCCUGGUCGUGUUAUCCGUUGAGCCUAAAAGAUAAGUCAUUCCUCCUUUCUUUUCUUUCUUGUAUGUGCUUAUUUGUGUGUUCAUCUACAUGUUUGUUUUCAUAUAUUUGGUUUUGUUUGAUUAUUUUCUGCCAAAUCUUUCAUCAUCAGUAGACCUUUUUAUGGUCAUUUACUUAUGCUUGUUUGAUAUUUGUUAUUGUUUUGAGUCAUGUAUUCAACAUGUUGUGAGUUGUAGAAUAGUUCAGUUCAUAUUAAGUUCUUAGUUGAAAUCACUGAAUCCAUCUGAUACACCUUGAUUAAUUUAUUAUUAACUAUUUGUUAUAGUUUAUAUAGUCAAUUAAUUAAUGGUCGUCAACUAAACUCACUUGAAAACUGAAACAAGAAGAAAGACAUGACUUAUAGUUUCUAGCAUUUUGAACUGCCAGUUAAUUAAGCACCCCUUAUGUAAUUUUCUUAAGUUUUGAAUCAAUGGUCACCUUUAGGAUGAAUUGGAUAUAGCUUAAUAGUAUUUUAGUUCAAUCUGAAAUCAAUUUUACGUAUGAGUUUAUAUAGGUUAGUUUUAGACUAGUAAGCAUAGGAUUAAGGAGUUUUGAGUGAAGUCCAUGUGCUAUAGGCACACCUGAAAUUAAUAGUCAAGCUGCCCAUACACUUUGGCAUUAAAAAAUAAAAUCAAUGGGUGUUGCUAGCUGGAAAUCAGAAAUAACAUGGGGUCUUAAUAAUGAAUUAAAAUCUAACAUUUCUUUUUAAUACUUUAGAGGUGGCAUAUCAGAACAUUAAAGGUUUAAUGAUAAAAAGAGGCAAAGGCACAUGGGAAAGAUAUACAGGCUGUAAAGUGAGGAAUUUUGAGAUAAAAAAUGGCCAGUCCUAGCUAUAAAUAGGAUGGAUUCAACAUAGAAUAGGACAUAUUAAUAAGCAUCAAAGACUUAAUUCUGUGAGAUUAGAGUUGAGUAUUGGCAGUUUUUUUUAUGUCUUAAAAAUCAGAAACUCAAAACUAGAGAGAGAUUUGAAGCAUCAGAAAAUUGAGUUUAAGAAAUAGACUGAAGUUUGAAGAACAAACUAAAUUUUGAGAACAGAACAAAAUUUGAGAGAGGGGAAUAUAGGACUAAUUUUGAGAAUUUGACAGAAAAAGAGAAAAACAGGCUGAACUUUUACUUAAAUAAUUUCAGGCUGCUUUCUUUGAGUGUGGUUCAAAGAUCGGAAACUACUGUUUCUCUUGUAUCUGUCUGUUUUCUUUUGGUACUACUGAGUUGCAGUUUGGUAUUUGCUGGGUUCUCUAUUUGUUGAACACUAUUUUAUUGAGCUACCAGGCUCUUCUCUUGGUUUUAAUCUGCUUCUGGGAUUUCUGCUACUGUUAUUACUGGUUUCAUCAGUUCUGUUGUGUUGCUGAACCUGUUGUGUUGUUGUGUGUGUGUGCUACUGUUGUCUCUACUGAUCUUUCUCUUCUUCUUUUUGCUUUGCCAAUUACCAGGUACACAACUACUACACUGGUAUACUCUGUAAAGCUGAGAUGUAAAGCAUGAAUAAGAAUGAAGCCUUAAAGCUUUGAAUUUAUUUAAUUGCAUUUUUGUAUCUUAAGUUGUGUAUAUACAAUAGUUAGUCUUAUCUGUCAAAAACAUGUAGUAGUUCUACAUGUACACCUGAUGCCUAGUGCUGUAGCAGUAGAUAUCCUGUUCUGAAUGUUAGAUUAAAGAACUAAUGAUGUAGUGGUGACACUCUAAUGUUUCAGUUAUUUUACAAGCAUAUUUCUAAUGCGUAUAUAGGUUUUAGGUUGAUUAAUCAAUAACUUAAACUAGUUUAGUUAGCGA
rnacentral:lncRNA from 1 species